rnacentral:lncRNA from 10 species
CCUCGCCCCGCCCCCUUUAGCCUGGGCUUGAGCGCGCGCAGAAGUCAGCUUCGUGACUUCCUUCUCAGGAUGGAACCAGCUUGGUGGCUUGAGGGAAAGGGGUUCUGAGUUGCAAAUCAGAAACUUGAAGAUGAAAUGGCUACUACGCUGGGUAUUGCCUUUAUCUUGAAUGCCAGCCUGAUGGUCCAAGGUGAACAAGCCUUCCUGUGUUUUCUGAAUGUUCCCCCGCACUUUGCCUGCCACCAUGUAAGAUGUGUCUUUGCGCCUCCUUUGCCUUCCACCAUGAUUGUGCGGCCUCCCCAGCCAUGUGGAACGACACAACUCUUCACCAGUGCACAAAACCUGAUGAGAAGGAUACAGACUGGAUUUUGGUCCAGCUUGCUGCUUAACUAGGUUCCCUUGCACAACGCACAACCUGUGCAAUGAUUAUGCAGUGAAAUUGAUGGCCAUUACCUAACGUGGCUUCAGUGACCAUGUUUUCAAAACUGGGAGUCAGAGUGCAUGGCUUGACAUCAAGGCUUUGUGUCACAAAGCAGAAGAUCAUUAAUCUGGGAGUUGACAACAUUGGAAGCACCUAAACAAGUUGAUUAUUCAUACAAGAUUUUUUUCAAGUAUUCAUUUAAAACUAUGCAGUUAAAGGUGGUGCAUGUCCUGUUCUAAUUGGUAG